rnacentral:pre_miRNA from 1 species
CCGAGCAGCCGGAUCCAAUCGAGAGGAGGCCGGAUCACCGGAUCCGGUGGUCCUUGUCUCCUCGUUGACGGAUACGGUGUCGGGA